UACGUAGGGGGUAAGCGUUGUCCGGAAUCAUUGGGCGUAAAGAGCGUGUAGGCGGCUCGGUAAGUCCGCUCUGAAAGCCCGGGGCUCAACCCCGGGAGGCGGGCGGAUACUGUCGGGCUAGAGUCCGGAAGAGGCGAGUGGAAUUCCUGGUGUAGCGGUGAAAUGCGCAGAUAUCAGGAGGAACACCAAUGGCGAAGGCAGCUCGCUGGGACGGUACUGACGCUGAGACGCGAAAGCGUGGGGAGCAAACAGG
rnacentral:rRNA from 1 species